ensembl:processed_transcript
GACAAUGAGCGAUCUGCUAAAAAGAUUCAGAGUGAGCUUCUGUUUAGAAUACAGUUAAAAGCAUCAGUCUGCACUAUUAGAAAACCAGUAAAACAACUCAGGUGGACCUAUGGAAAAGCCAGGCUAUUUGCUUUAUACGAGCUUACAUGUCCUACAAAUUUAGUAAUAGUACAGACCCUAUUAAUAAACCGCCAUGUUGUAAAACCGAAAGCAAAGCAUCCAGAAAAAUUCAUGUCUGGGGAGCCAUAUUCCAUCAGGGACCUGGACCGCUAGUUGUGUUAGAAAGAAUUAUGGACAGCUGUUUUUACAAAGACACUAUAGUAAAAUUUAAUCAGGUUCCAUAUGUAAAACAACACUUUAAAGAACCACAUCGCUUCUUCCAAGGUAG